rnacentral:sRNA from 1 species
AGCAUCCUCACUCGGUCGGUUCCUCGGGCGAGUUACGGGGACGACCUGCGGGAGCACGCGGGCAGUGGCCGGACGCUGAAGCCCAGGAGAGCGAUGGAGACGCAUGCGGAGGCUGGGAAGGAAGGCAAGCCUUCCUGUGCAUCGGUGGAUCUGCAGGGAGACAGCUCCUUACAGGUGGAGAUUUCUGACGCAGUGAGUGAGCGGGACAAGGUGAAAUUCACUGUUCAAACCAAGGUGAGGCGGUGUGGGGCACGAGGAAAGGUCCUGGUGGCUGCCCGCAGGAGGCCUCCCCCAGGGUGGUAGGCAUGUGCCAACACAGCCUGUGGGCACUCUUCCUCCACCUGGCACUUGCCCUCAGCCCCUCCUGGAAAGCGAGCCUCUUAGCUCUGCCUAAGGCCCCAAGUCCUAAUCAUCCCUGUCCACCAUUCUAAAUGAAAUCAUGCACACCUGAGCUCUAACUUGGUCCUCCCUGGGAUGUGGGAUGAGGGGGCCCCAAAAGUGGGUGCCCAGGAGACUUGCUGAGGCAGGGCUUGGGGCAGAGAGAGGACCUCAGUUGGCCUUCCCACUUCCAGAGCUGCCUCCCUCACUUCGCCCAGACCGAGUUCUCAGUCGUGCGGCAGCACGAGGAGUUCAUCUGGCUGCAUGAUGCCUACGUGGAGAACGAGGAGUACGCCGGCCUCAUCGUGAGGAGGGGCCGGGCAGGGGCUGGGAGGGACAGGCAGAGCACUUGGGUGAGGACCAAAGGCUGUGAUGGCCGUCUCGGCAGUGAGAGGCCUCCCAGCUCCGUCCCUCCUUUGAGCAGAUCCCCCCAGCCCCUCCGAGGCCAGACUUUGAGGCUUCGAGGGAAAAGCUACAGAAAUUGGGCGAGGGGGACAGCUCUGUCACUCGGGAAGAGUUUGCCAAGAUGAAGCA